GUUAUUUGGUUGUUAGUUUUGCAUGGUGUUUGAAUUUUUCAAUGUUUAUUUUGUUGUUUGCCGAUUUAGCUCUAUCUUUUUAGCUAAUAAGUCUGAAAUAUCUCUAUCAAGUUGAUUAGAGUACAAUAACAUUCUAAUCUAACUUCAAAUUAGAUAGAAGUCUGAUUAAACAUGAAUAGUGACAAUAGAAAGCAAGAGUUUGAAAUCAACAAAUCAGAAACAAUAGCAAGAGUUUUAUAAACAAAAUCUCAUGUACUAGAGUCCAGUAAUGAGCUUUCUUUAGAGAAAAUAUCAAAGAAAAAAAAAAAACAAAGAAAAAGAAAUUAAGACCUUUUAGACUAUGCUCAUGCUGUGCAUUGCCAAUGGCAAGCAAGCACAGAUCGGAGGGGAUCAUGUCAAAUUGGGUGUUGGUUGAAAAAAUUCUGCCAAAUCAUAUAAGUGCUGAUUUGGAGUUUGAAAUCCAAGCAAAGUCAGUAGUCUUAUGUUGCCAACCCUAAAGAGUUGUUAGAAGGUACUAGUCAGAAUGACAAGAAAGAUGACCAGCAAUCAUCUAAGAGAAAUAUAAAAAAGAACAAGAAAAAAGAAAAGAAAAAAAUCCAUUACCACCCACUUGCACCUCCACUCUUUAGAUCAGCACACACCCACAACCAAUUAUAGCAACCAUUUGAAAGCAAAACCCAAACUUCACUCCAAAUCCCAGCGUUAUAACAUUCUUUCAAAAUUUGUUAGUAGUUAUUACAUCCAUCAACAAGGUUGAAAUUGAUACAACCAAUAAAAUAGUUGAUUCUUACCAGAAACCAACAGCUCGAGAAUUGGGUCAAAUUACAGAUAGUGAGUAUCUGAGUGAUAUGUUUCUUUGCAUGCAUUAAAGCCCAAAUAAGCCUUUAGUUCAGAUCACAAAAGUUAAUUGGGCCUUCAACCAACAAAGGUGAUCUAUUUCUUUUGUGCCUCUCCAAUAUUUUCUAAGGAUGGUAGGAUCCUUAUAACUAGUGUUUAUAGAUUCAGGUGUUGAACGUUGAAUAUGCGAAGAGCAUUUGUGCCAUCAAAGAUCUAGACAUACCCAUGAUUUCCCAUUAUUGUGGUCAUGCUGCUUUGAUGUGAUGGAUCACCUUAUUUUCUAUAAAUUUUCAUUUGAGGGCCUGUGUUUUCAAUCUACAGUGUGGUGGGUUGACUACUUGGAUGAAAGAUUUUCCAUGUUUUCAGACAUUUCUGCCAAGGCUUAUAUUACUUUCUUGGCAUUGGGAUUUCUCUCAACUUUAUCUGAAGUGGCAAAAAUAGAGGGGCAAGACAAAAGGUUUCUUCAUAUUAUUGGUGCAACUGAAUUAAUAAAAAAUGCUACUACAAUUAAAGAUGAGAUGUUGUAGCUAGAGGAAGCCAGAAGGUUUCACAUUUCCUUGUAUUCACAGGUAAGAACUUGUACCUUGUUUGCCAAUUGAAACCUAGCCUCUUUUUUAUUCAUUAGAAAGUAAGUGCAUUUACCAUUACAGGGUAAUCAAGUAUCACCUAGAGUGCAUUUACCAUUUACCAGUGUUUUCAUGUAGUUCACAUUAUUGGCAUUCAGUGAAAGUUAAUAUCUUUUGACUUUAAAUGGACAUGCUGCUAAUAUGUAGGUCUAUAUCAUUUAUUGGACUCUGAUGUCUCUCAUUUUAUUAUUCUCUUGUUCAAAAUAGUUCUUCUGACUGAUUACAUAUCACUCGGAUCCUAUAACUUUCCUACUAGUUCUGUCCUAUAUUGUAGCUUCCAGCGGAAAGGAUUUUUCAGUUCUAGUCUCCAAGACCAAGGGCACAACAAUAACAGAAACAAUGGACUACACUGACCUUCCGCACUCUCAGAUGAGAAAAGUCACAGAUUCAUGCUUGCUACUUUCAAAACAAACUAUUCCUCAUUACUAAUUGACAGUGGACACAUGUGUUGACAAACUUAUGGAGUUCAUCCAAGUGUGUGCAAGGGAGCUUAUGUGUCCAGCUUAUCAUGAACUAUGUAACAACCAUAUCAGCACCAUAUCUUGAAUUAUAUAAGGACCAUUAAAAUGGAAGCAAUUAAUCCCUGCAAUUGGCUCCUAUACCAAUAUGUCUCAUAUCCAAGCAACAGUUAUUUGUUCUAGAAAAGCAGGCCUGCAACUUAGUGUCCGAAGUGGUGGCCACGACUACGAGGGACUUUCAUAUGCAUCUAAUGUUCCAUUCAUCAUUGUUGACCUGCUAAAUUUUUUAUCUAUUAACGUUGAUAUAGAAGAUAACAGUGCAUGGAUUCAAGUUGGAUCAAUUCUUGGGGAUGUUUAUUAUAGAGUUGCAGAGAUUUUUGUUUGUUUAUGUAUUUUUCUUUUCAUUUUUUAUGGUGGAGAAUGAUUUUUUUAUUG